rnacentral:rRNA from 1 species
GGACUGAGUGGCGGACGGGUGAGUAACGCGUGGGUAACCUGCCUUAUACAGGGGGAUAACAGUUGGAAACGACUGCUAAUACCGCAUAAGCGCACAGGACCGCAUGGUCCGGUGUGAAAAACUCCGGUGGUAUAAGAUGGACCCGCGUUGGAUUAGCUUGUUGGUGGGGUAACGGCCCACCAAGGCGACGAUCCAUAGCCGGCCUGAGAGGGUGAACGGCCACAUUGGGACUGAGACACGGCCCAGACUCC